GCGGAGUAACAUACGGUGUUAACUGCACUCAGGUCUGUGGUCAAUGUUUAAACAGUGAACAGUGUCAUCAUAUCAACGGUACUUGUUUACACGAGUGUUCUCCUGGAUACAAGGGACCGGGCUGCAAAACUAAAUGUGAUAGUUGGAUGUAUGGUAUUAACUGUACUCAGGUCUGUGGUCAUUGCAUUAAUUAUGAACAGUGCCAUCAUAUCAACGGUACUUGUUUACAAGGAUGUUCUCAAGGAUACAAGGGAUCUCUCUGCAAUUCUGCGUGUGAUGAAGGCAUGUAUGGGGAAAACUGCAAUCAAACCUGUGGGCAUUGUAUAAAUAAUAUUCAGUGUAACCACG